GCCUGUAGUGACCUUCGCUCAGUCACUACAUUAGAAGAUGGCGUCCCAAAGAAACCUGGAGGGAAUUGAUUUCGACGAGGAUCAAAUAUCGGUAAUCAGCCUGGAAGAUGGGGAGGAUCUUUUUGCAAGCAUCUCAACCACAGGUUCUCUGGGUGCCGCUGAUCCUCCUCCUGACGGCUUCAGAAAGG